UAAUACGGAGGGGGCUAGCGUUGUUCGGAAUUACUGGGCGUAAAGCGUGCGUAGGCGGUUUGCUAAGUUGGGCGUGAAAGCCCGGGGCUCAACCCCGGAACUGCGUUCAAAACUGGCAGACUAGAGGCCGGUAGAGGAGAGUGGAAUUCCCAGUGUAGAGGUGAAAUUCGUAGAUAUUGGGAAGAACACCAGUGGCGAAGGCGGCUCUCUGGCCCGGUUCUGACGCUGAGGCACGAAAGCGUGGGGAGCGAACAGGAUUAGAUACCCUGGUAGUCCACGCCGUAAACGAUGAGUGCUAGACGUCGGGGGGCUUGCCUUUCGGUGUCGCAGCUAACGCAUUAAGCACUCCGCCUGGGGACUACGGCCGCAAGGCUA
rnacentral:rRNA from 1 species